UACAGAGGUCCCAAGCGUUGUUCGGAUUCACUGGGCGUAAAGGGUGCGUAGGCGGUCGGGUAAGUCUGAUGUGAAAUCUCACAGCUUAACUGUGAAACUGCAUUGGAUACUAUCCGGCUAGAGGAAUGGAGGGGAGACUGGAAUUCUUGGUGUAGCAGUGAAAUGCGUAGAUAUCAAGAGGAACACCAGUGGCGAAGGCGAGUCCCUGGACAACUUCUGACGCUGAGGCACGAAAGCUAGGGGAGCAAACAGG
rnacentral:rRNA from 1 species